CUGGGGUCACGAGAGCCCCGAGGAAAGGCGCUCUGGCCGUCGGGAUUUCAUUCGUUCAAAGAUUUACCGCUCUCAGUCUCCCCACUAUUUCCGAUCAGGUCGGGGAGAAGGUCAUGGGAAGAAAGAAGAUGGCAGAGGAGAGGACAGUAAAGGAGCAGGCCUGCCCUCCCAGAAUAGCAACGCUGGCGGCACAGGAAGAGGGUCAGAAAGUGACUGCAGCCCCGAAGAUAAGAACUCUGUUACUGCCAGACUGCUGCUAGAGAAGAUCCAGUCCAGGAAAGUGGAGAGGAAACCCAAUGUGUGUGAGGAGGUGCUGGCCACCCCUAAUAAGGCUGGACUCAAGUAUAAGAACCCCCCACAAGGUUACUUCGGGCCUAAGCUCCCCCCGUCUCUUGGUAAUA
rnacentral:lncRNA from 1 species